ensembl:snRNA U6 U6 spliceosomal RNA
GUGCUUGCUUCGGCAGUACAUAUUCUAAAAUUAGAAUGAUGCGGAGAGUAGCAUGGCCUCUGCACAAGGAUGACAUGUAAAAAGAAAUAGGGGAGAAAGCUUCCU